rnacentral:tRNA from 1 species
GCCGAGGUAGCUCAGCUGGCCAGAGCGAAUCACUCAUAAUGAUUAGGUCGGGAGUUCAAGUCUCCCUCUCGGCACCA